GACGAACGCUGGCGGCGUGGAUUAGGCAUGCAAGUCGGACGGUAGGGCUUUAUCGUAAGAUAGAGUUUGAGAGUGGCGAACGGGUGAGUAACACGUAGGAAUCUACCCUUAAGACGGGGACAACCCAGGGAAACUUGGGCUAAUACCGGAUGAGAGUGCGAGAGAUUGCAUUUAAAAGGAUGGCGAAAGUUGUCGCUUAGGGAUGAGCCUGCGGUCUAUUAGUUAGUUGGUGAGGUAAGAGCUCACCAAGGCGACGAUCAGUAGCCGACCUGAGAGGGUAAUCGGCCACAUUGGAACUGAGACACGGUCCAAACUCCUACGGGAGGCAGCAGUGGGAAUAUUGCACAAUGGGCGAAAGCCUGAUGCAGCAACGCCGCGUGAGCGAGGAAGGCCUUUGGGUCGUAAAGCUCUGUCGAGGAGGAAGAUAAUGACGGUACUCCUCGAGGAAGCCCCGGCUAACGUACGUG
rnacentral:rRNA from 1 species